rnacentral:rRNA from 1 species
UACGUAGGUGGCAAGCGUUGUCCGGAAUUAUUGGGCGUAAAGCGCGCGCAGGUGGUUCCUUAAGUCUGAUGUGAAAGCCCACGGCUCAACCGUGGAGGGUCAUUGGAAACUGGGGAACUUGAGUGCAGAAGAGGAAAGUGGAAUUCCCAGUGUAGCGGUGAAAUGCGUAGAUAUUGGGAGGAACACCGGUGGCGAAGGCGGCCCCCUGGGCUGGUACUGACGCUGAUGCGCGAAAGCGUGGGUAGCAAACGGG